GACGAACGCUGGCGGCGUGCCUAAUACAUGCAAGUAGAACGCACAGUUUAUACCGUAGCUUGCUACACCAUAGACUGUGAGUUGCGAACGGGUGAGUAACGCGUAGGUAACCUGCCUGGUAGCGGGGGAUAACUAUUGGAAACGAUAGCUAAUACCGCAUAAUAUUGAUUAUUGCAUGAUAAUUAAUUGAAAGGUGCAAUUGCACCACUACCAGAUGGACCUGCGUUGUAUUAGCUAGUAGGUGAGGUAACGGCUCACCUAGGCGACGAUACAUAGCCGACCUGAGAGGGUGAUCGGCCACACUGGGACUGAGACACGGCCCAGACUCCUACGGGAGGCAGCAGUAGGGAAUCUUCGGCAAUGGACGAAAGUCUGACCGAGCAACGCCGCGUGAGUGAAGAAGGGUGUCGGAUCGUAAAGCUCUGUUGUAAGAGAAGAACGGGUGUGAGAGUGGAAAGUUCACACUGUGACGGUAUCUUACCAGAAAGGGACGGCUAACUACGUG
rnacentral:rRNA from 1 species